UGACGGCUAGAAGAGUGGAAUAACAGAUGGUAUCACAGAUUGAGAAAAAAAAAGAGACUGGCAUUCCAGCAGGCUCUUUAUAGACACCACCUUUCCUUCCUUCCUGGAAACGGGUCGUUUCACGGACUCGUUAAUCUCCCUCAUUGCCCGGUUGAUCUCCUUCCAAUGGUUUUUGGUCAGCCGGCAACCAGGCGGAGGCGUCUCCUCGGAGUAUUGGAGAAACGCACCGAUCGUCGAGGCGUAGUGGUUGACCGUGGCGACGGCCUUGUUCUUCUGUAGAGUCUGAAACCAUCUAAAAACACACACACACUGUAACCUACUCAAUGAGUGUAUUGUUAAUGAACGCCGAUGAGACUAAAGAGACUGACAGAUCCUCUGCUCACCUCCUCAUGUUGUCGUGGUUCGUCAGGAAAGUGAGAGCGGAUGGAUAAAACUCAUCCUUCGCCAUGUACGUCAAAAAUUGCUGCACCAUCUUGAGCUUUGCGGCACAAUCUUGCUUCAGUUUAUUGUUUGGAUUGGGGCCUUCACAGGUCUUCCUGAACCCCUCCAUAAACACACCUAACCAAAGAAACAUAACAUUUUGGACUGGGACCUUCAUAGGUCUUCCUGAACCCCUCUAUAAACACACCUAACCAAAGAAACAUAACAUUUUGGAUUGGGGCCUUCACAGAUCUUCCUGAACGCCUCUAUAAACACACCUAAUCAAAGAAAGAUAACAUUUUGGAUUGGGGCCUUCACAUGUCUUCCUGAACCCCUCUAUAAACACACCUAAUCAAAGAAACAUAACAUUUUGGACUGGGACCUUCACAGGUCUUCCUGAACCCCUCUAUAUACACACCUAAUCAAAGAAACAUAACAUUUAGGACUUUAUUAAAACAGAUCUCACAAGGCAACAUAAAUCAGACAGGCUGUUUUUUUCCUAAUUUGAAGACAGAGGAGCAUUUGGUUCUAUUUCCAUCAGAUGAAUGAAAUUUAGAUUUUAAUAGUCCACCUGCACAGUCAGGACAGACAGAACUGUAGGUACGGUGAAAUUGUUAUGGUCUGAGCUCCAACAGGCUAGACGCAGAGGAGGAUGUGAGGGGGUCUGGGGAAGAGUGAAGCAGGCUGGACACAGCGGAGGAUGUGAGGGGGUCUGGGGAAGACUGAAGCAGGCUGGACACAGAGGACGGGUGGGGGUCUGGGGAAGAGUGAAGCAGGCUAGACACAGAGGAGGAUGGGAGGGGGUCUGGGGAAGAGUGAAGCAGGCCAGACGCAGCGGAGGACGGGUGGGGGUCUGGGGAAGAGUGAGGCAGGCUGGACACAGCGGAGGAUGGGUGGGGGUCUGGGGAAGAGUGAAGCAGGCCAGACACAGAGGAGGAUGGGUGGGGGUCUGGGGAAGAGUGAAGCAGGCCAGACACAGAAGAGAACAGGUGGGGUUCUGGGGAAGAGUGAAGCAGGCCAGACACAGCGGAGGAUGGGUGGGGGUCUGGGGAAGAGUGAAGAGUGAAGCAGGCCAGACACAGAGGAGGAUGGGUGGGGUUCUGGGGAAGAGUGAAGCAGCCGUCUCCUAAGUUCCUCUAAAGCUCGUCUCCUCUGCGAUCUGUUGAGCUCCGUGUGGGACUCCAUGUGUCGAUCCAGUCUACUGACGCGUGUGGAACAUCCCGUCACUGGACAAGUUUCCUUUCUGAUAUUGACGCGGCCAGACUGCCAAUUACAAAGGAGGAUCCUCUCCUCCGUGUUCCUUACGUUGUGCGUGUUCCUCAGGUGCUGACUGAAGCCGACCACCACCUUG
rnacentral:lncRNA from 1 species